rnacentral:rRNA from 1 species
UUCCGGAUGAUCCUGCCGGAGGUUACUGCUAUCGAGGUUCGACUAAGCCAUGCGAGUCGAAUGUCCGUAAGGACAUGGCGAACUGCCCAGUAACACGUGGACAACCUGCCCUUUGGACAGGGAUACCCCUGGGAAACUGGGACUAAUCCCUGAUAAGUCUCCGUAGCUGGAAUGCUCGGAGACGGAAAGCUCCGGCGCCACAGGAUGGGUCUGCGGCCUAUCAGGGUAGUAGUGGGUGUAGAGUACCUACUAGCCUACGACGGGUACGGGUUGUGAGAGCAAGAGCCCGGAGAUGGAUUCUGAGACACGAAUCCAGGCCCUACGGGGUGCAGCAGGCGCGAAAACUUUACAAUGCGGGACACCGCGAUAAGGGGACCUCGAGUGCUGGCAUACAAUGCUGGCUGUCCAGCUGCCUAAAUAGCAGUUGAUAGCAAGGGCCGGUCAAGACCGGUGCCAUCCGCCGCGGUAACUCCGGCGGCUCGAGUGGUAACCGCUAUUAUUGG